ACCUACGGGGCGCAGCAGUGAGGAAUAUUGGUCAAUGGACGCAAGUCUGAACCAGCCAUGCCGCGUGCAGGAUGACGGCUCUAUGAGUUGUAAACUGCUUUUGUACGAGGGUAAACCCCGAUACGUGUAUCGGGUUGAAAGUAUCGUACGAAUAAGCAUCGGCUAACUCCGUGCCAGCAGCCGCGGUAAUACGGAGGAUGCGAGCGUUAUCCGGAUUUAUUGGGUUUAAAGGGUGCGUAGGCGGUCCGGAAAGUCAGCGGUAAAAGCCCGGGGCUCAACCCCGGCGAGCCGUUGAAACUGUCGGA
rnacentral:rRNA from 1 species